AAACUUAGGCUAGCACAGACCAAAGGCCUU
rnacentral:tRNA from 7 species